ACGGGAGGCAGCAGUGGGGAAUAUUGCGCAAUGGGCGGAAGCCUGACGCAGCGACGCCGCGUGGGGGAUGACGGCCUUCGGGUUGUAAACCUCUUUCACCAUCGACGAAGUCUUGCCUGUUGAGGGUGGGGUGACGGUAGGUGGGGAAGAAGCACCGGCCAACUACGUGCCAGCAGCCGCGGUAAUACGUAGGGUGCGAGCGUUGUCCGGAAUUAUUGGGCGUAAAGAGCUCGUAGGCGGUGUGUCGCGUCGGCCGUGAAAACCUGUGGCUUAACUGUGGGCUUGCGGUCGAUACGGGCAUCACUGGAGUUCGGCAGGGGAGACUGGAAUUCCUGGUGUAGCGGUGAAAUGCGCAGAUAUCAGGAGGAACACCGGUGGCGAAGGCGGGUCUCUGGGCCGAUACUGACGCUGAGGAGCGAAAGCGUGGGGAGCGAACAGGAUUAGAUACCCUGGUA
rnacentral:rRNA from 1 species